UGUGAGGAAUUGGAAAUGAAAGUUCACAC
rnacentral:piRNA from 1 species